AUGCCGACGUUAGUGUCUUCUGCGACGAAGAAUCCGUAGUGGUGUAUACGCAGGUAGAAGCUGGUACCUCCCGUGGCAAGUCCAAGUUGUUUGACAACCAAGGGUUUAGUUAUACAAUUAAGACAGAGAAGAAAACUACGAUUUGGAGGUGUUCCAAAAGAAGCGGACCAACACGAUGUCCGGCAACAGUAAUCCAAGAUGGUGAUACAUACCAACCAGGCUUAAAGAACCAUCUUCACCCAGCAGAACCCGGUAUACAGACGGCUACCAAGAUAAAAGUUACAGCAAAGCAUGAAGCCAAAGGAAAUGUUUUUACCAAGUCAUGUUCCUCAAUAGCGGAGAGAGUUUUAUCCAGUGUCGGUUCUGCAGAAGAACCCAUUCAUAGCAGACCACACAUGGCAGCACUUGUAAGGUCGCUACAAAGAACCCGACAGACUCUGCGACCAAAAGAUCCCACUGACGUGUCGUCAAGCCUUGACGAAGAUUUCAUCGAUCAUAGUGCACCGGGAUUUUAUCAAAAAAGAGUAAAAGUUGGGGAAAGGCGCCAUCACAUAUUUUGGAUUGAUAGACAGAUGCAACUACUCGCACGCGCAAAAACUUGGUAUAUGGAUGCAACUUUUCGGGUGGUGAACAAGUCAUGGUCUCAGCUGUUUUCCAUCCACGCCUUCAUUAAGACUGGAGAGACCACCCGACAGUUACCAUUGGUGUUUUGUGUAAUGUCGGGUAAAAGCCAAGACGACUAUUAUAAGUCAGUGAUGAUAUGUGACUCUUUCCACCUUCCAGCAAUAAUUAUUGAGAAUUUACCAAGGACUCCAUUGGCAUUGAAUCGAAGAAAAACAGUUUCAAUAUUGGAUGUAUAUGCAAAUCACCCAGAAAAAGAUCAUGUAAUAACAAAAGAAAUUAUAAAAGAAAAAAAUGGAAGAAGAAAUGGCUGGAAAAAAUGAUGAUAGAGCAGCUUUUUCUUGUUACCCAACUCGGAAGAUCAAGUUGGAAAGGGCUAUUGAUAUUGUGGAGACGUUUUCUCACAGAUCUUGCUUAUCAGACAAAGACUAUGCUGGAACACCAUUGAAAGAGUAUUUGCUGUAUGAUAACAACAAGAAAACCCAAGCAUCAAUUUAUUUUAUACUUCUGGGAAAGAAUGCAUUUGACCCAAUUUUUAAAUAUUUAUUUUUUGUUAUUAAUGUUAACUUUUCUUCCAAAACACAAUUAGAUUUUAAUUCUCUUCAGAAAUGUAUGUAUAAUAUAGCAAGUAAAGUGACAUAUAAAUCACUUAGAAUUUGGUCAGAAAUCAUAAAGUAUUUAAUAGGCAUUACUAGAAACCAAAUGUAGAUCAAAUACACCCAGAAUUACAAAAAACCUUGACCUACAUAAAGGUGACUUUCCCUUGCUUAUGAAAUGAAAUACGGUUUAGUAUCCUACUUUUCUGUGUUCUUAGAGUGAUUCUGCCCUACACCCUACUCUUAUAUAAAAUAUUGCAACUGUCAAGGGUUCUUUAACGGGAACCCGGGGGGGGGGGCAAUGAUUAACACGCACACAUUUGAUCAGGAAGUCUGUCAUUGAGUCAAAUAAUUCAAUUGUCAAGGGUUCUUCUAAGUGAACGCAGUGGGGAUGGUUUCGAUUCCGGGAAUGGGGGAGGGGGUGGUGGAUGGCCGAAUGGUAAGCACAUGCGUGCGGUAUCAUACGGACUGUCAUUGAGUCAACUGGCGUGGUUUCGAAUCCCCGGUUGUACGUGACAAGGAGUAGGGUUGCCUGUCCAAUCUUGUGGGUUUUCUCCGGGACCUCCGGUUUCCUCCCACUGCUAAAGACCCCUAUGCGCAACGAAUUAUUGAAAUAAAAUUAAACCAUAUGUUAAUCCCGAAAUGACCUAGUUUGUGUCAAGUGGACGUUAAACCCCAUUUCUCUCUCUCUUUCUUUCGAUUCCGGGCUUGUACCCAAUUCCCUUGCCAUAUCCAACACUACUGACAAGUGGGAACUAUGCCGGAAAAUCCAGUUGAAAUUUCUCGGCCAACACCUUAUACUCACUGAACCACUGUGGCUUAUGACUUGUGAUUGUAUAUAAGUUUUUUGUACAUAUGAUAUUUUUUUAUUUCAAUCCUGUAAUCUUGAUGCUUUGCUUCUUUUAUUUACAAAAUAUUCAUUUUGUUUGUUUUUUUUUAAUGAGGAAAAGGUUUUACAUCAUUUUUUUACUCCUGCAAAAUAGUGCAUUUUUCUUUUGUUAGUUUUCUGUGUAUAUUAGUUAUUUCUAUAUGUCUCACAAAUCACUUGUAGUGUGAUUUUGUAGCACUUUUCAGUUUUUGAAAUUGUUUCAAUUUAGUGCAUAAUUAAUCUUAGUGCUUGGUUUGGAUGUUAUUAAAUUUAGAUAUUAUUUGAAUUAUAUAUUUUGGAGUAUGGGGUAGGGAUACUGUGUACAUAUCUUUAUAUCCUGAUUUCUUUUUUUGGGGUAAAGAACAAUUUAUAUAGCUAUUUUAUAUUUUGUGAUAGGUAAAGUGUGUGUGGUUAAGAACAAUUUAAACAGCUAUGUUAUAUUUUGUGAUGGGUAAAGUGGGGGGUGUGUGUG